CCAAGUGGCAACAUAUUCAGACAGCCUGUGGCUGCAGUCGGAGAUACGCCAAUUCAUUGCUUGAUAAUGAUAAUGAGGGUGAGCUUACACAUGCAUCGCCCAGACCAAUGAUAGCCUUUGCUUCGAUGAUUUCUCUUGUGAGCUGAUUACGACUGCGACCAAGAAUGACGCAUUCAUGUCAUGUCAUUCAUGGCAUGUCAUGUCAUGUCAUUCAUGUCAUGCUGAUGUCUGAAUGACAGGCUGCGUGAGCAUGGUUACAAUGCCAAGAAUUGUAUUACAGCUGGGGGGUUUCUUGCGCAGCACUGCAAAACGUGUGGUUGCGAACCUGUCUUAGAGGAAUGCGUCAUUCUUGGUCGCAGUCUUAAUCAGCUCACAAGAGAAAUCAUCGAAGCAAAGGCUAUCAUUGGUCUGGGCCAUGCAUGUGUAAGCUCACCCUCAUUAUCAUUAUCAAGCAAUGAAUUGGCGUAUCUCCGACUGCAGCCACAGGCUGUCUGAAUAUGUUGCCACUUGGUUACUAUCGGUUUUGUUGCUUGGUUUUCUUUGGUUUCUCUUGAUGUCACAUGGUUUGCGAAUGUAUAAGUAGUCUUGGGUCACGAAAUAAACCAUCAGUUGGAAGUUAGCGCUCACCCUGUUUUCCGCUCCCUUUGAUUAUCCCUACCUCCUUCCUUUUUUGCUCGUCCUGAGCUGUGCUACAAGCCUAAAACAGUUGUUUCCACAGGUUAUGCAUGCAGAUUUCUUUUUUCUUUUGUUUCUUUCUUUCCAGGCUAUGGUAAUUGGGGGUGUGGGUUAUAUGCAGUGGCGGAGUAUGUGCUUAAAUAUACAGUACGGCGAGGCAUAGAAGCUUCAUGUUGUGCUCACGAAAUGUAAAUUCUGUUUUUUUUUGUUUGUUUUUUUAGUGACACCCAUUGAAAUGAGUUUUCAUAGUGCAAGUCCUGCAGUUUCAUAAUGUGUGUUAUACCCCUGCCACACUGGGCAUUUUAAUGUCAUUCGAAUCGAAUGGCAUUAGCAUCAAAUGACAUUAUUCAGCUGCUACACAGUGAUAUUUAAUGCCUUUAGUACCGAAUGACUUCUGCAAUCGAACGAGUUCGAGAAACUCGUUUGGCUUCGCACUCGGAGUGAAUGUAUACUCUCAAUAUGGUUCAGAACAACAUUCAUUUGGACUAGAUUGUGCAUACUUGAACUAGAAAGGAACAGAGCCAACUGAGACAAUCGCGAGCGGGAGAACGGCACAGGACAAGCACCACCUUCAUCUAUCUUUAUUCACUGAAAAAUCAGCAAAUAUAAGGAAGAUCACAGACGUGUUAGUGAUACUUCUGUGACCCUCUUUAAAAGCGAAAUGUCAUAUCUUGAAUGCUUUGACAGAUGAUACAUUGUGGUCCUUGUGCGCACGUCUGUGAUUUUCCGUAUGCAUAACAGUUGAAGCCCGCAAUAACAAAAUCCUGGGGCUACCAAAUUCUUGUGGCAACGAAAUAUUUUCGUAUCCCCAGCGACGCCCAUAGGAUUCAAUGCAUUUCGUACCUGUCGGCAACGAAAUGUUGCUAUACUAGAAUCCCGCAUCAGCGAAAUUCGCUGGAAUGCAACCCAGCAUAUUACCACUAGCGCAAGGCUAGCAGGCUCAAAAAUGUGCUUACAUGCUAUUGCUUUCCACUAAAAUUGCGUAAAAUACCACCACAUUAUGCUUGUGUGGGCGCCGCUAGUUUUGUUUACAAAAACAACCAAGCACCGGAAGCGCGUCAUCGGAAACACGUCAUCGCCGCCAUCUUGUUCAUUGAUGCCCGUUUGAAGCCGCACACGUGUUGAUACCGAUAUGUGACGACGGUUUUUGCACGCCUAGUGUGGUGCGUAGGGAGAAAAAUGCACCAAAAAUAAGCAGAUUCCUGUCCCACAGACGUGCAAUCGUUUAAGGCACUUGAGAUGACGGUCGCAACAUUGCCGUGCAUCGCGCUGUGAUUGAGUGAUCAUCUGGGAGUACGCAUUCCUUGCUUCGAGAAUGCUGGUUUUUGUGCCACCGGACAGGCAUUGCGUGAGGAUUCGGCGCCGGCAUAAAUUUGCGCCAAGGGGACAUAAUCUCGAUCCACUUCUUUUGGGUAUGCGAGAUGCCAUCGCUUUUGCGCUCGGCACUGGAAGCAUCCGGGCCUAUGGGUAACAGGGCGUGCUGGAUAAAUGUUUCUGCAUGUGUGGAGCGCUGUUGCUCUGUGUUCGGCACCGAGUUCUGCAAAAUCUUGCAAAAGUGAUCAAAUCUCAGAAAGCAAUUGACGGAGAACACUGCUCCAGGGCAGUGCUGCCUCUGCUGAUCGACACAUGCUGUGCACUUUGUACUGUUGGCAAUGCGGUCCUAUAUCCUUGAGCAAGCUUUCCAAAGUAGGCUAACGAAAUUUCGACAGUAAAUUUUCGUUCUGCGACACAUUACCUAUCUGUGCUGUCUCAUUUCGCAACAUCGAAAUUCUCACGAAAGCGAAUUUUUGAGCAGUCCCUGCCGACCUCGUUAUUGCGAGGUUGAACUGUAUUUGCUGAUUUUUCAGUGACUAAAGAUAGAUGAAGUUGGUGCUUGUCCUGUGUCGUUCUCCCGCUCGUGAUUGUCUUCGUUGGUGCUAUUCCUUUGUAGUUAAAGAAUACUCUCAAUUUCAGAAACAAAGUAAAACAAGACAGAGUGUUUGCAAAUUGCAAGCCGUAUACGUUAAGAAAUAAUUACUUUUGCAUGUUUUGAUGUACUUGUUACUUUAAAGAGAAAAAAAUCUGUACCGAUGGCUGUCGCAAAAUGUUACUCUUCAGCUCAGCAGCGUCUGGUUACCGUCGCCGCCACCGCCACUCUGCUCGUUGGCCAUAUUGUAAACACUCGGGUGUCUGGUCGCACAUGUUGGUUGAUCAGGCAUCAGCACCAGCAGUGGGACGAGCAAUGACAGUGAGAUGAGCACACUGGAAUUGGGCGGAAACUUUUGCACUUAUUUGAAUUUGGGAGGAAUAUCUACAGGACCUGCGUUAGCGAAAAGAAACCUAAAAGUUUAUGCGCACAUUGUGGACGGACUCCAUAAAGCCGGCAUUGACAAGACAAUAAAAGAGACGAAGAAGAAGAUUGAGAACUUAGGAAACAAAUACAGGCAAGUCCAAUUUUUAUUUUCUACGCUGUGCAAAUAAGGAGAAUGUAUUAGGCAAAGUAGCGUUGCAGGUUGUUUUCUAGCCUGGAGGCCAGUGUAGGCUUAUUGUGGGCUAUUGCAUCGCAGAUUGUGUAUAGUACGGACACCAGUAUCAUCACUUCAUUUUGUCGAAAGUGUUAAUAGACGCGGUGCACUUUUUUUUUCUAUCACGCAGUGCAUACCUUAAUCGAAUGCAUUAUGUAUCUUGUUUUAGCAUACUGGACCAGCAGGCAUAUAAAAUUCGGCUGCUGAGGUAGCUUUGAGAUGUCACACACCAGUCAUUCGGGGCGUAUAGAUAAAUGCGGGUGGCGCACUCGGUCGGGUCCACUCGAGAUUGAAAAUGCCCCGUGUGACUGGUAUUAUUCGUGCUGUGAUGACUUGAUUUCCAAAUAGGAGAAUAGAAAAAAAAAAAGCAUCUGUAAGCGAGUAUCUCAGUGCAUGUGAGGGAACAGCUAAUUUCAAGUAACGACAGCUUUUCGCUACCUUGACCUUCAGAGCGCAAAUUUACAUAUGCUGUUCAUAUAUGGUACCUCAUUCGGGUGUGUUCUUUACUGUCAGUUCUGUGAACCCAUGGUACAAACAUAUGAGCUUGAUAACUGACAAUGCAGUUGAAACAUAACUGUGCUUUAUUUCUGUUGCAGAGAUAUCAACAAAAAAAAAAAGGCACUGGGUGUGGCUAGAUAACGUGGCCAUUUUAUUGGGAGCUGAACAAGUUCCUUCAAGUGUUGACAACAGCCUGCUGCAUCAGAGUGCAUGCAAUAGCAGCAGCACAGUGGAACGGCUCAUCAGGGGGCAUGGAUUCUGGAAACGACUUUGGCUCUGAGAAUGAUACCUCGGUUGGUGACGGGAGUCUUGUGGACUCUGAAACUUCAUCCACAACACAAGGCUCGGCCACCACCAGCGACAAACCGUCACCGUUGUUGAACACAUCCAACAGUGGGGAGUGCUCACAAGCGCCAAUGCUAACAAGAGAGCUAACAAACAAACCCUGAAGAAAAGGCAGCGUUCAUAGUAAUUGCUGUUGUCCCAAGUAGUUGAAGAGCAGGGGCAGCUUUGUUUCAGCAUAGAGUGGCCGAAAGAGAAGGAGCUGCGGCUACUACUGCUGAGCGUGAAGUACGUUUAGUUGCAGUUCUAGAAAAAAUAGCAGGAACAUAGUGCUAUUCACAAAUAAACUGUUUUCUAUUUUCUGUA